rnacentral:rRNA from 1 species
GACGAACGCUGGCGGCGUGCCUAAUACAUGCAAGUCGAACGCUUCUUUCCUCCCGAGUGCUUGCUCUCAAUUGGAAAGAGGAGUGGCGGACGGGUGAGUAACACGUGGGUAACCUACCCAUCAGAGGGGUAUAACACUUGGAAACAGGUGCUAAUACCGCAUAACAGUUUAUGCCGCAUGGCAUCAGAGUGAACGGCGCUUUCGGGUGUCGCUGACGGAUGGACCCGCGGUGCAUUAGCUAGUUGGUGAGGUAACGGAUCACCAAGGCCACGAUGCAUAGCGGGGAUGAGAGGAUGAGCAGCCAAAAGGGAACUGAGACACGGUCCAGAAUCCUAAGAGAGGCAGCAGGGGGGAAUAUUGGACAAUGGGAGCAAGCCUGAGCAAGACAGAACGCGUGGGUGAAGAAGGCCGUCGGGUUGUAAAGCCCUUUUGUUGGGAAAGAAAAGCAGAAGGUUAAUACCCAGCUGUUCUGACGGUACCGAAAGAAUAAGCACCGGCUAACUUCGUG